GUGGGGAAUUUUGGACAAUGGGCGCAAGCCUGAUCCAGCAAUGCCGCGUGCAGGAAGAAGGCCUUCGGGUUGUAAACUGCUUUUGUACGGAACGAAACGGUCCUGGUUAAUACCUGGGGCUAAUGACGGUACCGUAAGAAUAAGCACCGGCUAACUACGUGCCAGCAGCCGCGGUAAUACGUAGGGUGCAAGCGUUAAUCGGAAUUACUGGGCGUAAAGCGUGCGCAGGCGGUUUUGUAAGACAGGCGUGAAAUCCCCGGGCUCAACCUGGGAAUUGCGCUUGUGACUGCAAGGCUGGAGUGCGGCAGAGGGGGAUGGAAUUCCGCGUGUAGCAGUGAAAUGCGUAGAUAUGCGGAGGAACACCGAUGGCGAAGGCAAUCCCCUGGACCUGUACUGACGCUCAUGCACGAAAGCGUGGGGAGCAAACAGGAUUAGAUACCCCAGUAGUCC
rnacentral:rRNA from 1 species